GGCAGUGGUGUUUGGAACGGGAUGGUCUUUAAGGUCCCUUCCAACCCUGAUUCUAUGAUUAUGUGUUUGGGAGGUUUUAAAAAAGGAAAAUGUCUAAUGAAGUUGCAUCCUGGUGUUACAAAGGUUGGUUACUGGAAGGUUUCAGACCUGCUGACAGUCUUAUUGUCACUGCAUGUGUUAGUACAGAAAAGGAGGAAAUGGCAGUCUUGCUGUACAUCUUACGGGAAUGUUGAGAGUUGGGACACAUUUGUCAGGAUGCGAUGUCGAACGACAGUGGGAAUUUUAAGGGUCCAAGUCUCUGCCAUGUGGUUUCUCCCCGCAAACCCUCCUGUGUGGUGGAAGGCAAACUCAAAUCCUGAGCCAAGCCUCUGGUCAAAAGUCAUGAGAUGAGUGAAAUCUUGGUCUUUAAAAAUAGCAUCUUGAAAUAAUAUGUUUUAUGUUAUUUGGUUUAGAGCCUAGAAUUUUUAUCUUUGGUAUGCUUGAACUUUUUUCCAAAACCCAAAGGGAAAUAACAAAACUUUUUUUUCCUUAUUGAAAGCUGAGGUUUAUAUCUAAUUAUCUUCCCCUUCAGAAGCUGAGGUUUUAGGAGUAGUGGCUUAGGUUAAACUAGUAAAUUUGAACAGUGUUUCGUUUUGAGUGGAACUCUGAAAAAGUCCAGCUGCGGGAAACCACAGGCCCGCAGUGGAGAACUCCAUGGAGGGACAAAUGCAUGAAAGGAGUGAAACCAGAGAAGGAGAUGAGACCUCAUGGAGGCCUGGCCAGCUGAGGUAGAUACCUGGGCCCUGUUUAGUGGCUGCAGAGGAUAUUUGGCUGAUAACAGCCAAAGCACUCUUACUCCAGAGACAGAGGUUGGAAAGAGCUUUGUCCCUGACCUCUGCCCAGGUGUGGCUGUAGGGUUAAAUCCAACAUUGGUCUUCUAGACGGGGAAUGCUGAUUUUGUCUUUUUAGCUCACCAGCCAUUGCUGGAGAACACAAGGCUUGUGUUCUAGCCACUUGACUGGUGUAUAUACUCUCAUUUCCAUUGUUCUGUGUUUUCAGCAUUCUUGAGUUCUUUCUUGGUCUUCUCCAGAUGCCAUCACUGGAUCCAUAAUUCAAAGACUUGUGUAAAGAUGACAAGAACACUCACAGAGAGAAGCACAGACCCUGUGAAGGCACCUGAAAGUGAACUUUAAAGAUCAAGACUAGGUUUUCAGGAAGGUGUGUACUUUCCUUUCUGUACCAAGUUUGAGGUUACUGGAAACAAACCAACUAACAACAAAGAACAAAGGAAGAAAGAAUAAUUUAGAACAAUCACAUUUUCCACAGUACCAGCUAAAUAAAUGCCUGAACAGGCACCUGGAUAUGCUUGCUACUUCCAAAAAACAAGAUAAGGAUGAAAGAUAAGCACCUGCCUUAAACAGCAUUUCUAGAAAUUAUUCAGCAAAUAGUAAGCAAAUUACACUGGUCUGAGAUUCCAUCACUUCAUGCAGGAGAGGAUGGGGGUCAGUAUUUUAGUAGAGGAGUGGAAUAUGGAAAGCCAAAACCUGGCUGGAGUUACGACUGAAGGACAUGAAGGGUAAUAUAAAGAGCUUCUAUGGGUGAAGUGGCAGUAAAAGGAAGACAAGGGAAAAUGUGGGACUGCUGCAGAACUGGGUGAUUAAACUGGACAUAAAGGCCAAGGGAAAAGCAGAGACCUCUUUCAUCUGUACUUUGCUGGAAAAAAACCCUUCUGCAUCUUUCAAGCUUCUGUGGCUGAUAGCUGGGUUUGGGGAGAGGAGGGAAACUACCCACAGAAAGUUCCGUUCUGUCAAACUGGCCAUAUACAAGUCCACUGGACCACAUGACACUCAUUUGAGUGUUGAGGGAGCUGGCCAGUUUUAUUUUGUGCUCACACCCUAUGAUUGAUUGGAUUUGAAAGUUCAUGGCAUUUAAAAGACUGCAGGUGACUGAACAAAGGUUGAUGUCACACAUUUAAGUUCAGUUGUGUCUGACCCAGUGUCACUGACUUUGAGCUUAGUGAGCGUGGGGUAAGCAGAGGAUGCCAUUCUAUCUUGUCUUUAUGAGGGCUUUUGGUGGGCUUCCUCAAUAACCUUGUAACGGGGGAGAUGUGGCUGGGGUAGGCAGACCGUGUGUGUGAAAAACAGGCUAUACCCCCAGACUUGAGGGUUGUGUCUCCUUGAAGUCUUGGCUGAUGCCCUGUUAGGAGAGGUCAGGGAUCAAUACUGGAGCAAAUCUUUUUUGACAAGGUCACCACGCAGGGGGUGGUACAAAGUGCCCUCUCAGCAGAUUUUCAGCUGGUCCUCUUGCCAAGCUGGGGAGAUCAGUUGAUACCCAGGAGGCCACCAGACAGAGCAGGCUUGCCAAGCUGCAGGAGCAGGCCAAUGAGAGCCUUGUGUUGGUCAACAGAGACAAGGGCAAAGUCCUGAAUGUGGGACAGACUAUCCUCAUGGGACGCUACAGGCUGAGAACCAGCUGGCUUGGAAGUAGCCCAGCAGAAAAGGGGCUGGCCAUCCUGGUGGACAAAAGAAGUUCUUCAUGGGAUUUCAACACCUGCAGGGCUGCAUUAUCCAUAUGCCCAGCAGGUAUGAGCUCUGUGUGCAGCACUGGUGAGGCCACACUGGAUAUGCACUGUCCAGUUUGGGAACAGCAAGUUCAGCAGAGGCUGCUGAGGUGGUAGGGACUGGAGCACAUGCUGUGUGAGGAAGUGGGUUUGGCCACAGCAGGAUCUAAUUACAAUGUGCACCUUCUCAGAGAGAAUUAUAGGGAAAAUAGGCACAAGGCUUUUCUCUGAGAUGGUCACCAACAAGAUAAGAGACAAAAGUGAAAAGCUGCACCCAAAGAUAUUCCAAUUGUGUGUAAGAAAACAAAAGUUCAGAGUGAGAGUGGUCAAGCGGCAGAACAUUUUACCUGAGUGGCUGUGGAUUUUCCAUCCUUGGAAACAAAACUAGACAGGAAAAGACUUUGAGCAACCUAGUUUGUCUUUGAAGAUAGCUGUGGAGGGAGCAGGAGGUUGAACCAGUGACCUGCAAAAUAUCUUGCCCAGAUUUAAUUUUGCUGUCAUUAUAAAUAUACUUUCUACAAGACUAUCCUUGUGUUGGGGGGGAACAGUAUUGGUGACUGGAUAAUCAUUAUGUCUCGGGGAUUUCUGAUAUUACAUCCCAAAGCUUCAGUAUAGCCAUCAUGUUGUUUUGUAGAUGAGUUUGGGUGGUGAGGAUAAGGGCAGUAGUGCUGUUAUUGCAACUUAAUUAAAUAUUAGGUAAUCACACAGUGUCUUCUGUCCACCAAAUUCAUGUGCAUGUACUGAUGUUGACCUCUGCACUCUCCUGGGUAAGCACAGCAUGGUGUGGUCACAAAAGUAAAUGUCAGAAAGUGCCGAGGAUCCCAUGUGGUACAGAACGUCCUGUUUAAUACAGGGUGUGUCAUAUUGUUACAUGGUCAGUGCAAUUUCUCAUAGGAAGAGCAUACAUGGCAGGGUUUCCCCUGCAUUUCCGUUGCCAGAGGUGUCUUUCUGGAUGUGCAGGACACAAUGUAUUGGGAGAACUCAGACUUCCCUGUAAGGACAGAUAAAACACACAUGUGCAAGGGGUGUGCUGCCAGAUUGGUACUUACUGUGCAACUUCUCUGAGCAAGACAAUAUUGCUUAUGCUGUGAAUCUUACAUGUCAGACUUGCUUUGCACGCAGCAAAUCUGUCUGGGACUAUCCUAGAUAUCACCUUGCAAAAUCUGUUUACGUAUCCUGUGAUGUAUCGGGCAUUUUCAGAUAUAUUCAGAAGUUAUGUGUAGCCAGGACUUGGAAAGACAGUAGUCCACCAUGACAGUGCUCCAGUGGAUUGCAAUGUACAGAAUAACAGCGUGCUUGGAUUUUUCUUUUUUUUUUUUUUUUUCCACAUCUUGAUAGGUGUAAAUGUUCACUGUAACACUUAUAAAAUCCCCUUCUGACCACUGUGUGCAGCAGGAGCUGGCAGAUAUUCCACAGAAAAUCCAAUCACUGAUUUUAUUCCAUGGAGGUUUUCAAGCUUGUUGUUUCUUGUGGUCUGUGUUCCUUAAUAUCAGCAUGUUUAUUUCAUGUCCAGGUCUCAGAUGAAUUAUUGGUGUUUUUAUGUGAGAUUAGAUUUGUCCUGCUAUUGUCACAGUUAUUUUACUUUUCCUACUUGAGGGCUGCUCCCCUGCCUUUUAUUUUGUGCUGCCUCUCAAGGCAAUUGUUAUUUCAGGAUUGUUAGCUGUGUCUGCCAACUCCUACAUAGCUCCUAGAGCCUAACCCUGGAUGGGGUGACACACCACCUUCUAUUGCCUAUCCUUGAAAUCAGGACCUGUCUCUCCCAGAAUGACAUGUACACUUUGCUUUUCUCUAGGCAACUGCAAUGAGCUCUCACACCUGGAACUAAACAGUCAAGACCAGGCAUGCAGAGUGUAGUAUCUCAUAUCCACUCUCGAAUGGGCAGAGGGGAAAUUAUUACAUAAUCAGCAGAAGAUUACAUCUUAACAUUUAGCUUGUGAAUAGCUCCUUGGAGCCCUGGGAUUACUUACUAAUUUUUUCCCCUUCUUAAUCAGGAAUAUAUGGUUUUCCAAGUCCGUGUUUAAAACAGCAAGUGAAUAAGAUUCUCCUUACUUUGGGCAAGAGAUUAAAAGCUAGUGUCACAAGAAUGUCAUUGCACUCUUUAAGUGCCCCUUAUUUUAAGGGAAAUCAUUAAUUUUUCUAGUAAUUGUACCCUUACUUAAAAUGCAACUUCCUGUACAAGCUCCUCCUUCCCUGCUUAUACAGAGUACUUACAUCAGAAAUAAAGAGCCACAAAAUUAGAGGAAAGAUUCCUUUGUAUGUAUGGCUCCAUACAUUUAUGUAGUAAAAAGUCUUCACCGCUUCAUCUAAUGUUUUCUGUUACAUCAGCUCUGGCACUCUCAGACUUAAGACCUGAGGAAGUUUCAAAUACCUAUUCUGAUAAAGAACCCAAGACACCACCACUAGUCCAGCACAAAAUUACUUUUUCCGCAUGCUUGAAAAAGGGUGUUGUCCAGAACAAGGGUGUUGUCCUGAGGUGCAGGAGUGGGCAAGAGCACUGCAUGGUACUGAAGACUGACCACUCAGGCUUUCAGGAGGAUGCUCAUGCAGGACACAGGUUCUGUCUGAGGCUAAUAGCUCAGGAAGUAAGAUGUUAAAUCCAUGUGAUUCAAUAACCUGUAAACAUGACAUUUUGAUUUCCAGAAGAGUUUCUUCAGAUCCUUUCCCAAAGACACUUAGUAUCAGAGAGUUUAGUUUUUUGUCUUUGACUAAUGUAUUUGGGUCUUUUGUACUAAACCAACCUGAUUUCUCCAAUUGAAAGUGUAACAUUCACCAAAUUUUCUAUAAUAUUGGGGGUUUUUUGAAGGGGGUAUAAUCUGUGGAAUGUAGGCAGAGAUAGUUUUUUACUGAGACAUAUUUGGAGCAACUAAUAUACCUUAUUUUAAUAUUUGCCUCAUAAAUAAUAUAAUAAUUUCAAAUACAUGCAGAUUAAACCUUUAUACUUUUGUGGCUUCUCUCUUAAACAAGAGUGCCAAGAGGGUUUCUGAAGCAUGAUGUGGUAGGUAGGGUUUACUGACAUGCAUUUGGCUGCAUUACUCAUCACCAGUUGGACUAAUGGGCAGGACACCCUAGAUAUUGUCAUUCCUAUUUUUAUCCAGCAGGACAAGUUGAUACAAUAGACACAAUUACAUCUGUAGAAUUUCUGAGGUAGUUUCUCAUUUUCUAUAAAUACCAACACCUUCUUUGUCAGGAAUUCUGAUUUAAUAGUGCUUCUUCAGAGCACCACAUCUGAGAGAGUGUGUCCUGCUGGUUAUGUCAGUACUGGGAGUCAUGGUGGGAAGUAGUUCCAGCUGGAAGGAGGAAAGGGGAAUUUUGCAAAAUUAGCAUCAAAGGCUUGGUCUUUUAAAUAUUUCAGUGCAUACAUAGACAUACUUCUGUGGGCAGUGCUGUUUACUGCAUUUUCACAGUUGGAACCUGGUUUUAUGAAUUAUAACAAAUCUGUCACCUUGGAGUAACUAAUUAUAUCGCACACCAUGGCCUCUCAAAACUUCACAAUACGUCCUGAAAUGAGCUCAAGCUUUCCAUCCUAAAAGACAAAGACUCCUUUCCCUGAAGCUAAAAGAAUACCCAUGUGUUGUUAGGAGUCCCCUGCCAAAGAUGUGCAUUGCCAAAGACACAGCUGAACAGAACUAAUUUCAUUUUGCCAGGAGCAUUGACACAAAUGCAAAGUAGGUAGCUUGAUAAAUCUGCUUUACUGUUUUUAUUGUAGCAACAAUGUUAGCAGGAAAACCUUGAUAGAACUUUAUUUUUGAAAAACAUAAUUCAUGGUAUUAAUCUAGCCUGACUUCGUACAUCUCUGAAUUAAGCAGUUGGCCCAAGCUAUUUUUAUAGGCUUCCUCUGGAGAGGUGGAGGCAGCCACAAAGGUGAUUCAUCCCAGAUCCUUAUCAUAGGAUGGGAUGUGUUGCUUUCUGGUGUCUUGCAGUGAUACUGUGGGAGCCUAGCCCAGGGAUAUUAGCAUACAUCACUAACUCAUAGGUGAGUAGAGUUAAAAGAGGUGAAUUCUGGCCUACCUUCUACCACUGUGAUUGUAAAUCUGGAAAUUCACACAGUGUCACAUUGUCUGGGAGAUGCCAGUGUGCCAUUGGCAGCCACAGUGAGCUGUGGCAGUGUAGCACUUAGUAACUCCCGUGUUACUGAGAGGCCAGCCUGUGGCUCAUGGAUUGCAGAGCUGUGCCAUCACAUCCCUUCUUGGUGAUCUGUAAUCAUCUGUCCUCAAGGUCAUAAUGGCUCCUAAGAUGCAGCUGUGGGAGGAAGCCAGCCAGCCAGGGAUGUUCAGACCACUGCUGACAGGUAGCCUGAAAAGCAGAAGGUCUCCUAGGAUGUUAGCAGGAAGGAUCCGAGGACGACCUUUGGGGAUCUCUGAGGGUCUAGACCUACCACAUCUUAUCUUGAAGCUACUCCCAGAGCUCUCCAUCCCCUUGAUUCUUCAUGUAUGUGUCUUGUGAACUCUUGGGCCUAACUAGAGCCUAUGUGCAGUUCAUUAGAUUGUAAAGGAUAGUCACUGAUGCUUAAUUAGAUUUGUUACUUUAAAAGUAUGCACACUAUUAAAGUUAUUAUCAUCAGAGGUACAAAAGGCAAGGUGAAAGCUUAAAAACCUUUCCUGAUUAAAUGCAGUAAGCAUUCUAUGUAUGCAGAACUGCCAGCAAUUUCUCUUUCUUCUCACCAUCUCUUAUCCUUUGUAAAAACAAAGAAAAAAUACAUGUAUCCCAUCUUGAAAAUAAAGCCUUUUCAACAAAACUCUAAAAUAAGCACUUUUCUUCACUAAACCCAUUAAUUUCUCAUAUUAGUUUUUAUAUUUUAUAAGGUCAAUUACCCCAUAACACAUACUUGCAUGCCUUCUUCAACAAUAUUUUGAUAGCAUUAUUUCAACACCGAGAAGAGGCUUAGGCUCACCUGCUUCAUUGUUUAAAAGUUUGACCAUGCAGAUAUCCUAAAAUAUCUGGUAUGAACACAUUAUGACUUCCCUGAGAUCUUAUGAGUUAUUUGAUGUUAAAACAUCCUUAAUCUGUCUUCUUCACAGAACAUAUUACUCCACAUCUUACUUUUGUAACAUAUUAAAUAUUUGUGUUUUAUCAAUAUUGUUAACAAAAUAUUGAUAAUGAAAUACAUUGCAAAUAUUAUGUGAAAAAAUAAGACUAUGCUACUUCACAUAUGUUCUAAAAUUUGUCAUAGGAAUAGGAAUUUUAGCUAUGCCUUUCAAUGCCUUUAAUGGUUUCUAUCAUUUUACCUAUAUAACAUGAAUACCUAUAAAUAUUAAUUUAAAUUGUAAAUAAUUUAAUAUAUGGAACAAACCCUAUGGAUAUGUGAUUUGGAUUUUUUCAACUAGAAGAAGUAAAUUGAGGCAGAUUCACAUUGUCAACAGCUACUUCCAUGACUUGGCUUUUGAAACAAGUCUUGAUGAAUAUUAUUGCAUAGUUAUUACACUUUAUUACAGUUAUUAUCAAGCAUUUUAAAAACAUAGUUAAAAUACUAAUUUUUUUAAUGAAACCUUCUAGAAUGCUCAACCUGCUGCAUUUUACAUUGAACCUUGGUGUUCUGUAGAGAAUAACCCUAGCAAUGUUUCAAAAGGGAGCAUUUUCAGGGGCGAGGCAAUAUUUAGCCUCUGAGAUGAGGAAUUUUUGCUGCUUGGAUAAAUAAAAAUAGAUAGAAUAGUAGAAAUCAUGUCUUCUGUGGUGUUCAGCCUAUGCUGAUUUAUGUUUUUUGUUUCUUUAUUGGUGGAUAUCGGACUGGUAUCAGUCUUCUCAUUUCUAUAGAUGUUUCCGUUAUGGGUUUUCAAGUUCACCUAUCAUUUUUAUUUGUCAUUACAUUGGAUUUCUCUUUGUCCAGAUCAGGCUGAAAAUUUUCUUACAGUUUUUUUCCAAGGUUUUCAUAGGGAGGAAAGAGGAUUGUAUUGUUCUGAGUGACACUGGCAUGCAAAUAAAUAACACUGAAACUUGGAAGAGUGUUAAUUAAAAAUUAUUAUAACCUGACUGACCUGACUUGGCAUCAUGGUAUCUUGCCAGACUGGCUCUUUAUUCUUACACGUGUCUGAUUCGUGUUUGUGGUGUGAAGCUAAUGAGCUCAUGGAAUUGUUUGGCCUAAUUCUGCUCUCUUUAUACUGCAGAAGUUUUAUGUGAGGAGGAACGAGGAAUAUCAGAAUGAGGUUCAUUGGGUAUGACUCAUGGUGAUUAACCCAAGUAAUAUUUGGUAUAGAUUACUAUUUUAAUAAAUUCAUAGAUAAACAUUUGUAGAUGAAAUAUUUGCCCUGUUGUUUGUUUACCUAAAUGAGAUUUACAUUGUUUUAAGACUGGCAUACACCUGUGUGUAAGCUCCACUGGCUUCAGUUUUUUGUGAUCCUUACCUGUGUGAGGCCACACAGGGAUCACUGAAACAAAUUAGAAUGUGUUUAAUGAUGUAAUUAAUCAACAACAAUAUAACACUCAAUUUGCUGUCUUCUAAUCACAUUGCCAUCAUUUUAGCUCUCCAGAAGAGCAAUUUGGGUGGUUGUGAACAAGGACUGGAAUCUGACUUAGAGAGGUCUCUCCAGUUAAAAGAGAAGCAGAUCUUAUCUUUACAUCCAUAUGUGCUACAUGGACAUAAAAAGGCUGUUCCUUAAAGUCUUUGAAGAGAGAUGGGUCUAACGAUUGUCCUGAUCCUUUUUCCCUUUCCCAGAGGGACACUGGGCUGUGGGCUGUGGCUAUGGAAGAUGCAGGUCUCCCACCUCAGCCCACCUUCCCAGCUGGCUGCUGUGCUCAUUAUCCGGGGUGGAGCGCCCCUGUGACACACCUCUACAGCGUCUUGUUUUAGAGUUACUUGGCAGGGGUGCUGCGCUGAGCUGUGCAGCCAUAUCCUGCAUUUAACUAUAGGGUUAUAUGAGUAAUAAGUCAGGUAGCUCAACCAAAGAUAUUCAAAAUAUGUAGCACAGCUGAUGCAAUUACCAAACACACGCUGUGGGACCCCAUUCCUUGGCCAGUUCUGUUUUCAGUAAUUGUCAGUAUGGUUUGACAUGUGACCAGCACAUUCUCAAUGUGAUUUAUCACACUGUCCUUUUUUUACAUCUCCUUUUCUUCAUAUUUUUUAAUAUUUCAAGAAGAAUUCCUGGGGGUUGUUUUCUCUCUUUCUUGAGGUAUGCAGUAGUACCCACAAUCUGACAUUAUGUUACAUUGCAUUAUUUACAGUACAUAAAUGCAAUGUCUUUAAUGUCCAUGUACCAGUAAUCCCAGCAGGCCCAGGCAAAGUGAGCCCUAGUUUUGUAGAUAUUUGGUUUGAAUUUACGUCUGUCCAUGCCUCUGCAAGCUUAUAGUGUAGAAAGAGGAGACAAAAUGGAAAGGUAAUAUGGACAGAACAGGUUGCACAGGGGGGAUUUCCCUGUAGGUUUUUUCUUAACAUUGGCAUCAAACUAUUGGAAGGGAAGUUAUUGCUGAGAAGUGAUGGGAAUGGGAAAGACAAAUAGUGGCACAGUAGUAUGAAGGGAAAGGGCAGAAAGAAUGAAUUUGAUUCAAAGAAGUUUUUGGUGACUGACUUCAUAGAAAUAAUACAAUAGAAAGUGGAGAAAAAGUCCAUGGUCAAAUCACAUGAGGAGUCAGUCCAAAAUUUCCAAAUAGGUCGCUGAUGUUUUCUGGCAGCUUUUAACUUCAGCUGGAAGAAAAGAGCCUCUUUUCUCCACAAACCAGAAUUAAUCUGUAAUGCUUUUCUCCUCCAACUCAAGUGACUUGUGUUAAGAGGGCAGCUUUCAGACAAGGACCUUGGACCAAGUCCUGUUUGGGUACAGUGGAAGAUUUCCAGCUGUAUUUUAAAGCACCAUUCACCUCUUGUGUCUGAACUGUUAAUUUGCAGUGGGGUCACUCCCAACUUCGACUACUGCUAGGACAUUAAUGGUCUAAAUAACUGCACCUGCUAUGUUAAUGAAAGUGUGCAGAAAAGCUCAAGUAAUUUAGAAAAUUAUGUGUUGUGUUGGGGUGCCAAGAAGGAUAGAAAGAUACAAGUGGCAAGAAGUUGGUCAAAAGAAAUGGGGAUUUCAGAUCACUUGCUGUAUUAUUGCCACAGUGUUAGCAGUGCUGCUAAUGCUUUCAGUAUUUUACUGACUCUAUUCAGCUUUGUAGUUGAAUGUGUUGCAGAGUGGGAGGGCUUUUUGACUAAGAGAAGGAAUUGAAAUAAUGUUUAUUUUUUAUGUGGUCCUUCUUAUUAUUUUACUGGCAGGUUUUUAAGAUUGUGAGAUUUGUUUAAGACAAAUCCCUAGAAAAAAAAAAUAGGUCAUUAGGCAUCUUUGGAUCAAAAAAUCACAGGAAAACAGAACUGGAAUGAACUUUAAACAAUUCAUUCCUUGCUCCAGUCUGCAAACAUGUAUACCAUUAUGAUUCCUGAUAAAUGUUUGUCUAAACUGUUUCUGAAAUCCUUUGCAGCCUCCUUAAGCAAUCUAUUCAAGUCCUUAUUAUACCUACUGUUAAAAGAAGCCAUUUCUAAUGUCUAAUCUAAACCUCCCACCUGCAGUUCACACCCAUUACUUCUUAUCAUGCCAUGCUGGGCAUGAAGAACAGCUUAAUUCUCUUCCUCUCUGCAUCCAUCUUUUAUGUAUUAGAUAAUGCUUGCAUUCUCCUGCAUGUGCCUUUUUCUGUGCAGCUGGACUUGGAUGAAUAUAGAUUAAAGGGGAAAAAAAAUAAGAAAAAAUCACAUUUCUGGCUGAGACAGUCAUUUCAGCUGCUCAGGCAGCAAGUGGAAAUGGAGGAGUUAGAAAAUGCUGGGCAGGGCAGGGUGAUUUGCUUAAGGCAAUCUGAGGCCCUAAACAUAGCACAUGAGAGAGGCCAGUGCUGCCUUGUGUUGCACAUCUCUCAUGACAGUGCCUGUUUGGCAUUUCUGUCUCACCUGCCCAUGUCUCAGCCUGCAUCUCUCCCCCGUCACCUGAACUGUGGCCAGGAACUGUAGGUGCUUCUGUGCAGCCUGAUUUUCAGGGAUUAGGUCAGUUCUCUCUUUCCAUUUUCAGUUGUCUCCAUUUUUUAACUCAGAGAUGGGUAAGAAAAAGUAGGGAAUGAGAAAUGUGGCAGCUGGUAACUGACCCACACUCUAAUUCAGCCUUCAGAACUCAUACUCCAAGAUACAGGAGAUAUCCAUGAAAUACCUUCUUUCUUCACAUCUUACAGGUCCUGGCAAAGAUCCCCAAAACCCCGUUGUCCAGAAUUAUCCCUGACUGCUCUUAGCAUCUGCUUCAGACCAGUAUCCCUUAGCAUGGGCACGACAGAGGCUUCCCAAGUAUCCUGCAGACAUUCCUAGGCACUUUAGGAGCACCAAUCCUUUGGCUGUCCACUCUGUCUUCUCCCAGGCAUCCCAGCCAUGCCAGCCUUUCCUCAUGGAUCAUUUGGAUCACGUAUAUGGUGAUACAGUCUCUAAAACUGCAAACUUACUUGGUGCUGCUUAUGCUUUGGAUGCAUGGAGCAGCUCUCCAGUUCUCCUGGUGUGAGGCACACACAUGGGUGGGUGAAAUCCUUAUCUCAUGGGGAUUUGGUGGGUGAACAGUGCUUUGUUCCUUUGGGGCUGGCAACUGAAUGAACACACAGAGCAGUUUUCAUGAUUUAAAGUUGUUGUUUGCAAACCUGAAUAAUCACUGUGGUCACAUUUUAUUUUCUGUGAUGAAGACCAUAAACUUACUUUUAAAUUAAGAAAAUGUUCUUCUGCUAGUUGUGUGAUUCUGAGAGCUGGGACCUGAAGCAUAAGACUAUAGUGCUAUUUGUAAUGUCAAAAUAUUUAGAGUGAACUGGAUUCUUAUGUAGUGGAGAGAAAAUAAUUGUUUGUCAUAUCACUUAAUUUUUGAAAAAGAAAGCCUAUAGAAAUUUUUCCUCAAGUCCAUGAAGUCUAGAAUUCCACUCCAAUAGUGAACUUCACAAAUGUGCCAUAUGACAAAAUCUUACCUGUAGGCUAAAUUUGGAAAGAUAAAUCUCCAUUUUGCUACAUUUUCUGAAAGAACGCCAUUUGUAUAACUCUGAUUUUUUAUUUUAUUUUAUUUUUUUAAUAGAGGAAGCCAUUUUCAUAUCUUGGAAUGGGAGUGGGUAUUAAUGUUACAGGUAUAGGAAUUGGUAUUAUCUCUGAUGACAUGAAUCCCAAUUGAAAUGAACCUGGAAAAGUCCCCCAAGCAUUUUCUGUUGAUAACUGUGACACCCAGUGGUUAUUUAAAGUAUAAAAAUGUAGUACAGUAGGAUUGCAAUGAACCUAAAGGCUGCACAAAAUAGUGUGGUUUAUACAAUAAAUAUGUGCUUUUAGAGUAGUACUCUUUUCCUUGGUAAUGUGUACAUAUACUAAAUAUAAGCUAUUUUAGGAAUUGUGAGGCUUUAUUCCAUGUGUUUUGCCAUAUUUACACAUACACACACACACAUAAUUUAUGUAUUUAUUGGUACAAAGCUUUUUAAUACAUUGUGAGGCUGAGGUUAUAACUCUGGUGAAACACUGACAAAAAGUAGCUAUGAAGUAUAAAAUGGCUUUUAAUUCUUGCUGGUGAGAAGCUGGCUCAGAAGAAGUCUGGGAGAUAAAGGAACCUUGUUUCCUCUCCUUUGUUUGCCACUGACUCAUUGUGUGGCUUAGAACAAAUUGCUUGUGUGCCUGGCUGAUAAUCAGUCUGUUCAUAAAGGUGCAAGAUGUAAUUAGUAUUAAUCUAGGUGGCAUUCACCUCCAACCAUUUAUGCCAGAGUCAAGAAUGAUGAAGUUAUAUGCUCUGUAUAAUGCCUCAUAUUUAUAUUCCAAAGAAUAAUAUUACUUUAUGAGCUGUGUUUUAUUACAGAGCACUGAAUAUGGAUUUACUCCCAUAUACCUGGUAAAUGAGAAAUUAAACCCUAUUGUUUAGGGAUCACUGACCAUUAAAUAUUUACUCUUGGUGGCAUGUUUAAAAUAAAGGAAUGCCCUCAAAAUUCAGAAUGCCUAAUUGCACUGGACCAAGCAGCAGGUGCCCAUUAUAAAUAGAUAACUAUAUCUGUUGUUUGGGAAUGUCUCAGGGAACUGUUGAAGCUUUUUCUUACAGGUAAGAAGAGUUACACAGCAAAAGGAGCAAUGUCAGAAGGCAUCCACUUACAAGCUGGAAAUUAGAUGGAGCUGCAAAGUCAGUUGCUGCCUUAGGCCCUGUCUUGGCUGCAUUAGCUGUGGUUAUACUGUGUGCCUCAGCAGUGCUCUUCAGUUCCCCACGUGUGUGCCUUGUCUUCAUCCAGAGCUGGGGUGAAAUCUGUAUUCCCACCCUUUAUUCAUCUCAACCCUACCUGGUUUUCAUGCAGGGAAACUGCAGCCAGAAAGGGAGAAACGAGACAUUCUGGCAAGUCCAGCCAUAUCAGGGUGAGGAGAGGACCAAGAGACACACAAAAACACCAGGUGAAUAGCUGUGCUACAGUAUCACUUUGCAAGAACAUAAAUAUUAUCUGUUUCCCACUAUUUUUUUUUUAUCAUCAUCAGAGUUUCAUAUUUAAUAGGAUCACAUGAAAUAUCAAGUUGUAAAAUCCUUAAAUGCUGAAUUCAGGAUAAAAAUACCUUAAAACAACUGCACAUGUUGGAGCUGAACUUAUUUAUCAUUAAAAGAAAACAGGCUUUGGAUGUUAUUGCUUGGAAUUCUGUAAUAUCUAGUAGUACUUGUUUCACAUCUGCUGCCCCAGUCUUUACAAGGACACAAAAAGAUGGAAACAGAAGAGUGAAAAUGAAGUAAUGCUUGAUAAAGUGCAUUGUUUACUCUGUUGCUAACAGAUUGUCACCCAUUGUUGUUAACUGCAGGAUGAAGAGUGCUCUUGUCUUCCAGCUUCUGAUAAGAACAAAUGUAUGUGUUAAAAUGUGUUCUAACACAAGAAUAUAUACUGGUGCUUUCUGAUGUACUAAUAUAUGUUUACACUUGACUCAAUCCUGGUUUAGUCUCCAGAAGGAGAUGGUGAACAGAUCUUUUGCUCUUUAACCCAACCCUGAAAUAUGGAUAUGCAGAAAUUUGGUUUUGCUUGGUGUCCCUCCAACUGUUUAUUCUAUACUCAAAUGACUUGAAUUCUGGCUCUGGGUCAUUGAUGCCUACUCUUUGUUUUGAAUUAUAUGUUGCUCAUUUCAACACUUCCACUAAUUUGGCUGGUUGAUUGUGUUUGGUUUUAGCCUUAAAAAGUUUAAUUUCAAUCCUCAAAGACUGGACAAAUCAUGUUAGAAACCAGUUUGCCUUCUGCUUUGUUUAUAGCAUAUUUUGCUAGCCAGCAUAAACAAAGCCUAGGGCAAUUUGCCAUCCUAUUCCAGACAGGAUGUCCAACACGUGCAAAGUCUUUUGUUUACACUGUGAACUGAGUUUGGAGUUUUUGCUUCCCUGUUCUGGAUUCUUUAUCCUAAAAGUGAUGUCUUAUCCUAUGAGGAGAAAGCUACAACUCACAGUGCACAAAUCUGCAUUUUUAGGUAAAUGAUUGUAGGUGAAAUAAAUGUCUCCCAAUACUUGGAUUACAGGAAAAAAAUUAUGCUGAGAGAAGAAAGAAGUCUGCCAUGUGUGUUACUUUGGUUUGUGCGUUUGGGAAGAGCAUACUUGAAAGACAUGAGUAGUGAUGUGCUUUAUCCCUUCCCACACACUGGGGCUUGGCAUGCCCUGGAAGAGAGACUCCCAGUAAUUGUUAUUAAUUGCUGUGAUGCAGCACUCCAGUGGCUCAUGAAGUGUCUCUGGUGUCUCACUGAAAUGGAAUGUUUCAGAUACAGACAUGAAUAUCAUAAAAGACACUUUUCCCAAUAAAGCUACACCCCUGCUGAUUAGCCAGUGCCCUGAGGUCUGGUGAUAAUAAGGUCUGACUUAAACCUCCACACUCAUCCCUCUGCAUGCCUCCCUUCUGUGUCAAAGCAGCUUUUCCAGCACUCAAGUUCAUUUCAGUAGUUAAAAUUUGGCUCCUCACUCUCAAGAACAUUGAGGUCAGGCUCUUUGUGAGUGAUUGCUGCUAGACAUGCACAUUAAUUUAUUAAUUUCUGUGAUUAAAACAAGAAAAGGGGAGAAGGAAGAGAGCUUAGGAGUGGAAAAAGAGCAGGUAGGUGGCUGCAGGAGCAGCCCCACAGCCUGGUGGUAGCAGGGUGAGCCACCGUGCUCUGUCGGGAGAUCAAAACAAGUGGAUCCGCCCUCAUAAUCUUCUUCUUGCACAACCCCUGACAUGGCUGUGUGUGGCUGUGUUCCACGCUCAAAAGAGGUGAAUAGAGGACAGACCGCUGACUUAAACAGCAUUUAAAGGAGAUAGAAGUGAAUUUUUAGACAGUGUCUGUAGGCUGUUCACUGAGUAAACUGCAGGAAAAGAACGUCUUGUCAGGUGACCAAGACUCAGGUGAGAGCAAUUAAUGUGCAUAUUAACCCUUGCUAAGUGUCUAACAGCACCUGUCCUGCUCUAUGCUCAACUGAUGGCACAUGAUCCAUUGAUCUGUGCAUGUACAGUCUGCCCAAUUUAUGGGAAUCAUGUUGGGAAAAUGCAGCUGGUUUUACUAACCAUGAGUUAUGGUGAAAAACAAAAGGAUUCUGAACAUGGGAUUGUGUAGGAUCCUACCUCAGGUCCAGCACUAGUCAAAAUUUCCAUUAAUAUUUUGAGUAACAUGGCAGAGAGGAUUAUUAAAUAGCUUCCAGCCAUCAGCUGCAGAGGAUCAUUUAACUGCCUAUGAAAGGGUAGGAUGUAAAUUGAUAAUCAUCACAGAGUUCAAGAAAUCACUAUGAAAAGUAUACACAGCUCAACAAAUUAAAAUGAGAGCUAUUUCAUUUAGGUAGGAAUAAUUAAAUACACAAUAGUAAGAGUGGGAACAAUCAGACAGCACUGUGAAACAGAUUGCAGAGCUAGCAUAUAUGGCUUUAAUUGCUCAUUCUUUUUCCCAAGACCUAUUACUUUGUUACAGAAAGAAUUUUGUUUAGUUUCAUACAAUUUUCCUGCUAUUGCAAUGGUUCUUGCUAUUCUUUUGGUGCUCUCUUCUAGAUACUUGUUUAAAGUAUCUUGUUUAAAUUUGUUUAAUUUAAAUCAAGAGAAAAAAAAUGGAAUAAGCAAUUAAACAUGGCAAAAUGCUGACCAUUCCAAGGCUAUUCCUUUCUCUUAAGAUGGUUUUUAUCUUUAGCAGUCUUCUGGAACCUCCUCUGUUUUCAGAAUUUCUCAAAUAUGUAGUCAGUCUGAGAUUACAGCAACUUCCGAAAUAUAAACCAGACUGGAAAUACGUGCCAGUCUCCUUAAAUAAACUCACUUUCCUGAAGGGACAUUUUAUGCAUAUCUCAGACUGCCUCACAAUGUUCUAUAGUAUGUAAGAAACAUUUUUAUUGCUGUCAAAGAUAGUAAAAUAUUUCUUUUUGUGGAGAAACACAUUUUCACAGUAUAUAGAGAUGCCAUAAAACUUGCAUAUAGAAGCAUAAUCUCAUUGAAGAAGUUGUGUGUUGUGAAGGGAGAAUAUCUGCUGUUAGCACUUGUGAAUCUGAGAAAUAUUCAGAUAUGAAGUUGUGUGGCAAUCCAUUUUCACAACAUAAUAUGACAGUAAAUUCAGAUACCUCAGAUUUGCAGGGUUUGGAAUUCAUGUAUGAUGUUCAGAGACAGAAGACACUAAAUAAGUUAACAAAAGAAACUGUGCAUAAAAUGAGUUUACACAACUAUGAUCUGUGCAGCUUUGGACUGAAACACAGUCAGGGAAUUGCUCUUGGUUUAUCUGGAGACUCCUCCCAGUUUGGUUUCACACCUUGCCUAGGAAUUCAAACAAGCUGAAUGUAUCUUUGCCUUCCAGUACUGUUAAAUUAAUGUUCCUACAACUGGAAUUCUAAACUCAAAGUUAUCUUUUUAACCAAGACCCUGGCUGUGUAGUGGGGAACAAUGGAAGAUUUCAUGCAAUUUCCACGUGCUUUUGUUGUUAAGAGCAUGUUUUUAUUGAUUUAAAAUGAAGUCCAACACCUGACAAUAAAGAAUAUUGAUAAAUACAGCCAAAGAACUGAGAACAGUCUGACGUGUUUGGGUUCAAUUCAGGCCUGGCAGCCCUGCAGGAUGAAAUAAUCCAGGUAGGAUAAUUCUGGAAUGGGCAAAGGCAUAGACAGUCCCCAAUGCAGUCUCUGGAUUUUAGUGUGGAGGUACCAUUUGCUGGAGCAGAAGGAUAAUUAAGUUUUUGUUCCUCUUCACUUGCACCAAGAUGAUUAGCAGGGGAAUCUCAUGCUUCUGAGUUUUGCAAGGCAGACACUUUCCUGAUAAGAAUUGAAUUUGCUCAUUUGUGCAAUUUGUGUGAUGGUAAACAACCAUCAGAGGACAGCUUCUGCCAGCUGCUGUGUCAGGUUUGCGGCAGUGCAGGCACACCUUGCCAUGCUCAGCUCUCUUUGCUCCUCAGGUGAGUAGUUAUUGAGCAGGCACAUCAAACUGUUUACUCAGCUACGUAAGGUCAUUUGCAGUAAUUCUGCCUUCCUUCCUUGGGAUGCACUGCUUCCUCCUCUUUAAGGCAAAAUGAGCUCAGAAAUACCAUUUGUGGAUAUAGCUCAUCUUAAUAGAUUUUCCUAGUGACUUGUGCUACUUUUGUGAUUUUUUUAAAUUUUUUUUUUCUUUUUUUUUUUUUUUUUCUCUCUGGGCAUGUAUUAUCCUGUCAGUCUGCUCCAGCCACCUGCCCUAUUUAUGGGUAUUUUAACAGAAGGAAGUUAAUAGAAACUCACAUUUGGUGUGAAUUUCCAUUUCAGUAAUUCACACUAUUCUUGCUGGGGACAGUUCAGUGUUAAAGGAAUAAUAGCUUGCAGUACUUUCAAAGCCAGAUUACUUUCCCCCUGCAAGACAAAGUGGCCUUAGUGGGAACUAGGGCAGCUAAGCUGCAGUGCUUGGAAAUUUACACCCUAAUUAUCACAAAUUAGCUUCUCCAUCUGGGCCAGAACAAAUAUGUGAAGAAACUCAGAAGGUUGUCCAGUGUGAUACCUUUUCCUACAGGAUGAUCUCCACUGAGUGCACAUGGGUCAUACUGAGAGCAUCACAGUGGAAAACCCUUUUGCAGUUCAAAUUAGCAAAAGCUUUCUGAUUUUCAGUUACUUGAAAGAAGAAGGCAGCAUGCAUGUAAAUUACAACAGUAACUGAUGGAUUGGAAACACCAGUACUGCUAAAACGUUGUAUUUGCUCCCAUUUCAAGCCUGAGUCCCGCAGCUUGGCUAGCUUUGCUUAACUCAAUAGCUUUGCUUGUGUUAAUUACUUCAGUGGACAUGGAAUUCUUGCCACUAAAAUAAAUGCUUCAGAAGCCAAAAUGACCCCUCAAUGGAAUAAUUGUUGAAAAAUAUUUUUCUUUUAGAACACUAUGUCCUCAAAGAAAACCUACCUGAAGUUCAUUUAACUUCGGGAGUUGCUUUACAGUUGCUUUACUUGCAAUCCAAAGCAAACUCUUAGAAAAUCUCCUUGGGAAGAAAGAAAAAAUAAAAAUUAAUCUCUGUUAUGUGUUGUUUCAAAGAAGUUUAUAGGUCAACAAUUUAUGUAGCCCAGUCAGCAGGGAACACACAUGUAGCAUCUACUUCUCUGAAUCAGAGAGCUGGCUGAUGCCAAGGUAAUUACAUUGAUAUAAGGCUGUUGUAGGUUCAAGGAGAUGAGAACCGAGUUUCUCUGUAGAAGAACUAAAUGCCUUGAACAGAGAAGAAGACUCUGUGUGUAUGAGUGCGUGUGUGUGCAGUGCUUGUGAGUCAUGAUAGUUUCUAAAAGGCUGUUUAACUUUCUGAAGUUGAUGUGAGUCAUUGUUCUCUUCCCAGGUAAUGACUAGUAAAGAUCAUAUUUAGCUCUUCCAUUUCUCUAGUAAUCUCUGAGACCUGUGUUCCAUUGAUCUUCCAGUGAACAACUACUUCAGAGCUCUGAGUGACAAGUGAAAGCUUUAUGAAACAACACAGAUCAUUCCAUUUGGAGAGCAUAGAUGACUAGAGCUAGAACCUGUCACUGCUCAACCUCUUUUGUCACAUAAAAAUGACAAUUGGUUUAACAAAAGAAAGCUUGUACUAAGUGUUUAAUAUAGGUACAAAACAAACGGUAUUGGGAAACAAAGGUGACUUUGAAUGACACAGAAUAAAAAUAGGCACAAGGGCAGGUUUUUUAUUUAUGACAUCACAAACUCUUUUUCUUCCAACUAUUCCUAAACUGAAUAUUUCAGAGGGCAUACUGAAUAUAUUAAAAAUCUAGACCCAAACUUGUCUUGCGGUUUAGUCAAGUUUAUCUAGGCAUUUCAAGUUUACAGAAAGAAAAAGAAUUACAGAGUGGGUCAGGUUAGAAAGGACCACAGUGGGUCAUCUGGUCCAACCUCCCUGCUCAGGCAAGUUCAUCUAGAGCAGGUGGAUUGUGUCCAGAUGGCUUUUGAGUAUUUCCAGGGAAGGAGACUCCACAACCUCCAUGAGUGUCCUGUUCCAGUGCUCUGUCACUUGUACAGCAGGGAAGUUCUUCCUCGUGUGCAGGGGCCUUCCUGUGUUACAACUUCUGCCUCUUGUCCUAUUGCUUGGCACCAGUAGAAGGCAGAACAGAAAUUGAAAUACUUGCAAUAGAAAAUGCACUGGAACCUUCAACCAGGAUUUCAAACCUUCUCUUCUCAGUAAGAGACUAAAGGUCCUGACCAGUUCAGAAAAAUCUUCUCGGGAAAACCACACAGAUACCAUUUUGCCAGUGCUGAAAACCUCAUUACUAAUUUAUGGAAGAUUCCUGCCUUACAUGUAUUGGAAGGAUUUCAGAUCUGGAAGGAGGUGUGAGCCACAGAGAGAGAGCAGCAAUCCCUUCUGGAAAUGGCUUGGGAAUACCAUGGAGGAAGCAGGAGCAUUGGUGAGAUUUUGAAGACGGAAGAGUGAAAGAUGAGGUGCUAAAUCUGAGACUGUGGCUGCUAAAAUGAGCUGCUGAACAUCAGAGAGCAGGAAUUACUGCAUUUCCCAAGAGUUCUGCAGAACCUCUGAGCCCUUUCUUUCUAGUAAUAGAAAUCCAUGUGGGUCUCAAGAAGUGUUAAAAUAAGAGUUUUUGAAAGCAACAGUUUUACAUAAAGGCAAAAAUAUAUUUUAUAUAUAAAAUAUGUAUCCUAUGCUCUAUGUUUAUCUAGUUUGCCCAUUCCAGGUCCCUUGAGCAGAUAAUGCUGCAUCCUCAGCUCCCACACUCCUCGCCCUCAGCUCCCUCACCCUCCAUCCUGGCCAUUGUGCUGUACAUUAUUUCAAAGGAGCACAGCUGGGUGCUGGACUGUAAUUUCUCAUGCAGCUCAGAUCAGGUCCAUUAGUUUAUUUGAAGGUUAGGACCAAGACCAUAAAAGUGCAUAAGGAGCUAAUAGACAGACUGGUGUUCCUGCUGUGCUCAUGGGGGCUUGAACAAGGGAGAAAAUAGCCAGGCACAUCCAUAUUAUUUUCAUCUUUUGCUUCACAAUUUGCAGGAGUCUCAUUCAUAAAUGACAAAGAAACAGCUCCCUGCUGUGAGGUCCUCAUACCACAGAGAGCUGUAAUGAGUUUGUAAUGAGAUGGAGAUAAGGUUUUUAGUGAUUACUCAGACAAACCUCUGAGUGCAAAUCAGAGAUGUGCUGAGCGAGGGGUAUAUCUUUCCAUCACUCUCCACGGCUUAAACAUCUGAGGAUACUUAAGGUAUUCUCAUGGUAUUAUGUAAGAAGAGCUCAGUAAGACAAAAAUGUCCUAAAUGCAUCUUUAUGGAUUUUUGCCUUUGCUGUAUGUCAGAAACUUUUGUAAUUUGAUGGCCACCAGCAGUAAUUAAUGGCUAGCAAUAUGUCUAGGGGCAAUGUAUGUUUCAAAGUCAGUAACAGGAAAGCCUCCAUGAUCUGGAAAGUCUUUGGCUGUGGAACUGUCUCCUUGCAAAAUCACAAACAAGUAUUUUGCCUAUGUACUCAUUGAAGAGCUCCAAAUAAAUAGCUGGAAUAUAAAUGAAGAGGAGUGAAGAACAGGAGAUUGUUUACCUUAGAGUGUGGUGCUAAACUGAAAUUUAAGAGUUGUUUCUGUUUUGGUCUUUUAUGAUAGCUUCAGUAUAUUUAUAUUUUUCAUAGGUAUGCAUAUAUAUUUGUGGAGGUGUAUACAUACAUAUAAGUGCUCCUGAAAGAAAUGUUUUAUUUUCAUUUUCUUAGAAGCAUCAGGUGUUUUCCGUGUUGAAUCUUAGCAUAGGUAAUAUAUAUCCAGAUAUUAAAGUAACCAUGACAAAAUAAAUAAAUAUUUCCAAAGAUGA